GCACUCCCUCGGGCACGACAAAGGUGUUUACAGACCAGAGCCCUGUACUGCAGGAUAAACCUUAAUGUCCCAGUGCUGGAAAGGUUUUUCAAUGAUGGUGACACACGGCCUGACAGACAGUGGUGCUCCAAGGCAUGACCAGCUGUCUGACCACAACUAUUUGUAACAGUGGCAUGACAGCGGUUGAUUGUGUCAGCUCUGCAAACCUGUUGGUAGACAACACAAUGGACAGAGGAAAUAUGCUCUCAAACACUCAGGAGACCGUCCCAGAUGAUGUCCCACCAGCAAAGAGGCAUUACCAGGGACCCAUCCCAGGUCCAGCAGCUCCACCAGGGCCUCCCUGCUCUGCUGAAUACAGUGUACAAAGAAAUGUUUUGUUCCGUUUUAUAUACUCUACUUGUAUGUUGUUUUUCUGAAGAUCAACCCAUGUUGUUAAGUAAUUUCAGUAAUGUUUUGAAUUAUUUGUUUUAAUGUAACAAUUUAAUUUAAGACAAAAAUAAAUGCAUUUGAAUACUUCUAUUAAAAUAAGAAUGCUGUGUAAGAAUUCUAAGUUGCAACAGUGUACAGGAGAAUCCUUUUAUUUCCACGC
ensembl:lncRNA